CCUGUACCACCUUGGCAUAGUGAUGGAGUGACGGAGAAGGAUAACACUACCUAUUAUUGGAUUUAGGGGUAAAUAACAACUGGUGAAUAUAGUUAAAUGCGUAUUCUAUAACCGGGAGUUAUGAUGCAUAGAACUUAGGUUUGAAUUGUGUGAUUUCAUGCUUCCAAGAAAAGCUUCUAAACGUUUAAAUGUCAGGGUGCCUGUACCGAGAACGGACACACGUUCCCAAGAUGAGUAUUCUAAGGCGAGCGAGAAAACCAAUGUUAAGGAACUCUGCAAAUUAACCCCGUAAGUUCGCGAAAAGGGGUGCCAACCCUAAAAAGUUGGCCACAGUAAAUUGUGAGGGGCAACUGUUUAUCAAAAACACAGCUCUCUGCUAAACCGCAAGGUGAUGUAUAGGGGGUGAAGCCUGCCCAGUGCCCGAAGGUUAAGUGGAUGCGUUAG
rnacentral:rRNA from 2 species